UACGAAGGGGGCUAGCGUUGUUCGGAAUUACUGGGCGUAAAGGGCGCGUAGGCGGCACGGCAAGUCGGGAGUGAAAGGCCUGGGCUCAACCGAGGAACUGCUUUCGAGACUGCCGAGCUAGAGUGCGGAAGGGGCAACUGGAAUUCCCAGUGUAGCGGUGAAAUGCGUAGAUAUUGGGAAGAACACCUGAGGCGAAGGCGGGUUGCUGGGCCGACACUGACGCUGAGGCGCGAAAGCCAGGGGAGCAAACGGG
rnacentral:rRNA from 1 species